CGGUCACGGGAUAUCAUCGGUCUAGUUGCCAUGCUUCGUGUAAGUCCUGUCAUGGUUAGUAGAAAACAAGAAACAAAUCACAGUAAUAUGUUCCUAUCAACUACUAGGAUGUGGCUACAAGUCGCUCAACUCUCAAGCUAAAAAUCAAGUUCUUACGAGUUCUUACCAUGCAAAACAGGAAGGUGAUGGCCAUCGGCAUAACCAACACCUUCGGAGAUUAAAUGUAUCGAUGCCUCGGUAACAAAUCAACCUAGGUGUAGAAUCUUUGAAGCUUGGAGGCUUUUGUGAGUAGCAGGGAAUAGCAAAUAAUCAAAUCAGCAAUGCAAAAUUGAAAAUAUGCUCAAUAAUGCUAGUCCUAGCUGCUGGAGUCGAAAAGAACGAAUUACAGAAAUAAUCUAAGCCUAGAUACUGAAGAAGGUAGAAAUAGAUAGAUCAAAAGAUGGCACAACAAGUAAAUCCCUGGGAUCUUUUUUCUUUUUUUUUCUUUUUCUUUCUGUGGCCUUCUGUUUGGCUUCUUAUUCUUUUCUUCUUCUUUUUCUUUUUUUAACCCCAGAAACUCACGCAAAAGAAGGACCGGAAAACUGUACGUCGGUUUGUCCAAGAACAGCAAAGGCUGCAGUAAGAAAAAUUCAGAAAAAUAUGGAAAAAUAUGGGUUAGAAGCGUAUCGACACAAACUUUCCAGCAAGGGCAAGAUCACUCAAAACGGAUGUCGGACGGUGGAGAAAACUGAAAAACACCGGGCUGCAGCGACGCCGAAAAACGGAUGCAGAAACUUGGAAGCUCCGAAAGUCCACCUUUCAAACCGAAUUUGAGGGUCAAAGUGCAGGGCAGAGCCCUGGAUAUUUCCUGAUGCGCCUCGUUGUGAGCUUUCAAAAAAAGUCCAAGAACGUCCAAAUCCGAGUUGGUACGCAAAAGAUACGUCCGUUUUACUGAACACGGGUCAAACCCACCCGAAACUAAAAUUCUACUCGGACUCGACUCCGAAACUGACUCGAACUCUUUCUCUUUUUUUUCGGUUUUUUUUCUUUCUUUCUUUCCUUUUUUUUUCUUUCCUUUCUUUUUUCACAACUUUCCGAACAACUUGAUCUCUAAACAAAAUUUGAUCUAUUAUGAAACACUUUCCAAAAGCACUCUUGAUUGGACUCGGACUCGAACUCGCGGCUGAAAACUAUAACUUGCCGACUCGAUGUAGGACUCGAAGAGGGACACGGUGUAGGACUCGAAGAGCGACUCGGUGGAAGAUAUGGUGGCGGCAGGAGAUUAUGGCGGUGGUGUGGUAGGAAGUUUGGCGGCGGAAGAUUGAUGAAGGAAACCUGCGUGACACGAAGAACAAGAAAACCAAAAACAAGUUCGAUCUAGUAGAAAAAAUCUGAAAAACGAUCCAAUCUAAUCCAGCAACUCGACAUGAUUAAUGCAGCAAAGAUUCAACAAUGCAAAUACUAAUGUGAAAAUUGCAAGGCUCAGAUUGGUUCUAGGACAAGGUAACUAAUUCUAAUUUUUGUUUGGCUUUUUCUGGAAGAUAAGUAAAAACAGAUCUAAACUACGGAUAAAUUGGAAACAUCUCACCGAGCAACCUUAAGCUCUGAUACCACGUGAUGUGGGUUAGGGUGGCCCGAUCUUUCGAUGAGAUUGAUAACUCUCGAUUUGGGUAGGAGGUGACGUUGAUGAUCUGACUACGGCCUAGGAGGCAGCGCCUUAGCAAUCGAUACACCAACUCCAGAGGGUUAUUGAUCACACGGGGGCACGAUCAACCUGACCACGAAGGUCUUUGUUCCUGCAAGCAAUCGAAGAACAAGCAAGAACAAGAUAAAUAGCGGAUGCAAUCUAAAAUUGCGAGUAUACUAUAUCAAACCAAAG
rnacentral:lncRNA from 1 species